CGGCUCCCGUAAGGGUCCGGAUGAAGUCCACCUGCAGUCGAAGUGGGGGACGAAGUCCGGCUCCCGUAGGAGUCCGGAUGAAGUCCACCUGUAGUCAAAGUCGGGGACGGAGUCCGGCUCCCGUAGGGAUUCGGAUAAAGUCCACCUGCAGUCGAAGUGGGGGACGAAGUCCGGCUCCCGUAGGAGUCCGGAUAAAGUCCACCUGUAGUCGAAGUCGGGGACGGAGUCCGGCUCCCGUAGUGGUCCGGAUGAAGUCCACCUGCAGUCGAAGUGGAGGACGAAGUCCGGCUCCCGUAGGAGUCCGGAUGAAGUCCACCUGUAGUCGAAGUCGGCGACAGAGUCCGGCUCCCGUAGGG
rnacentral:lncRNA from 1 species